GGUGGCUCAGUGGUAGAGUGCUUGUCUGGCAUGCAUGAGGUCCUGGGUUCGAUUCCUUAGCACCA
rnacentral:tRNA from 1 species